CUACGGGGGGCAGCAGUGAGGAAUUUUGCGCAAUGGGGGAAACCCUGACGCAGCAACGCCGCGUGAGUGAUGAAGGCCUUCGGGUCGUAAAGCUCUGUCAAGUGGGAAGAACCUACCUAUGGGUAAUAUUCAUGGGUACUGACGGUACCACUGAAGGAAGCACCGGCUAACUCCGUGCCAGCAGCCGCGGUAAUACGGGGGGUGCAAGCGUUAUUCGGAAUUAUUGGGCGUAAAGGGCGCGUAGGCGGUCUUGUUAGUCAGAUGUGAAAGCCCGGGGCUCAACCCCGGAAGUGCAUUUGGUACUGCAAGACUUGAGUAUGGGAGGGGGAAGUGGAAUUCCUGGUGUAGAGGUGAAAUUCGUAGAUAUCAGGAGGAACAUCUGUGGCGAAGGCGACUUCCUGGACCAAUACUGACGCUGAGGCGCGAAGGCGUGGGUAGCAAACAGGAUUAGAUACCCGGGUAGUC
rnacentral:rRNA from 1 species